GACGAACGCUGGCGGCGUGCCUAAUACAUGCAAGUCGAACGAGAGCAACCGGUGCUUGCACUGGUCAAUCUAGUGGCGAACGGGUGAGUAACACGUGGGUAACCUGCCCAUCAGAGGGGGAUAACAUCCGGAAACGGAUGCUAAAACCGCAUAGGUCUUCGAACCGCAUGGUUUGAAGAGGAAAAGAGGCGCAAGCUUCUGCUGAUGGAUGGACCCGCGGUGCAUUAGCUAGUUGGUGAGGUAACGGCUCACCAAGGCCGUGAUGCAUAGCCGACCUGAGAGGGUGAUCGGCCACAUUGGGACUGAGACACGGCCCAAACUCCUACGGGAGGCAGCAGUAGGGAAUCUUCCGCAAUGGACGCAAGUCUGACGGAGCAACGCCGCGUGAGUGAAGAAGGUUUUCGGAUCGUAAAACUCUGUUGUUAGAGAAGAACAAGUGCUAGAGUAACUGUUAGCGCCUUGACGGUAUCUAACCAGAAAGCCACGGCGAACUACGU
rnacentral:rRNA from 1 species